AGACCCGAAACCCGGUGAUCUAGCCAUGGGCAGGUUGAAGGUUGGGUAACACUAACUGGAGGACCGAACCGACUAAUGUUGAAAAAUUAGCGGAUGACCUGUGGCUGGGGGUGAAAGGCCAAUCAAACCGGGAGAUAGCUGGUUCUCCCCGAAAGCUAUUUAGGUAGCGCCUCGUGAAUUCAUCUCCGGGGGUAGAGCACUGUUUCGGCUAGGGGGCCAUCCCGGCUUACCAACCCGAUGCAAACUGCGAAUACCGGAGAAUGUUAUCACGGGAGACACACGGCGGGUGCUAACGUCCGUCGUGAAGAGGGAAACAACCCAGACCGCCAGCUAAGGUCCCAAAGUCAUGGUUAAGUGGGAAACGAUGUGGGAAGGCCCAGACAGCCAGGAUGUUGGCUUAGAAGCAGCCAUCAUUUAAAGAAAGCGUAAUAGCUCACUGGUCGAGUCGGCCUGCGCGGAAGAUGUAACGGGGCUAAACCAUGCACCGAAGCUGCGGCAGCGACACUCAGGUGUUGUUGGGUAGGGGAGCGUUCUGUAAGCCUGUGAAGGUGGCCUGUGAGGGUUGCUGGAGGUAUCAGAAGUGCGAAUGCUGACAUAAGUAACGAUAAAGCGGGUGAAAAGCCCGCUCGCCGGAAGACCAAGGGUUCCUGUCCAACGUUAAUCGGGGCAGGGUGAGUCGACCCCUAAGGCGAGGCCGAAAGGC
rnacentral:rRNA from 1 species